AUACAAUGCAUCUAUAGCUAGACAGAGAUCGAUUAAAGUUUCCGACAUCGGUUAUCCAUCGGAAGAAUUUAUAGGGUCAGGUGCACACCAAAUGGCUAAGUGUUAAUGUUUCUGCAUGCAGAAGUCACUUUAUGUUAGCUUAUAAAGCGCCAAAUGUCUUUGCAGCGGUAGCGAGGGGGGUUCAGGGCACGCGCAGGAUUGCUAUGGUGUGCUUCUGAAAACAGUGCCACCUGCGAUAACAAAUGUAAAACCAAUCUGACAGCUAAUCAGUGUUCAAAAUUCAUCAACA